AUUGAACGCUGGCGGCAGGCUUAACACAUGCAAGUCGAGCGGAGAUGAGGUGCUUGCACCUUAUCUUAGCGGCGGACGGGUGAGUAAUGCUUAGGAAUCUGCCUAUUAGUGGGGGACAACAUUCCGAAAGGAAUGCUAAUACCGCAUACGUCCUACGGGAGAAAGCAGGGGAUCUUCGGACCUUGCGCUAAUAGAUGAGCCUAAGUCGGAUUAGCUAGUUGGUGGGGUAGAGGCCUACCAAGGCGACGAUCUGUAGCGGGUCUGAGAGGAUGAUCCGCCACACUGGGACUGAGACACGGCCCAGACUCCUACGGGAGGCAGCAGUGGGGAAUAUUGGACAAGGGGCGGAAGCCUGAUCCAGCCAUGCCGCGUGUGUGAAGAAGGCCUUUUGGUUGUAAAGCACUUUAAGCGAGGAGGAGGCUACCUAGAUUAAUACUCUGGGAUAGUGGACGUUACUCGCAGAAUAAGCACCGGCUAACUCUGUGCCAGCCGCCGCCGUAAAAC
rnacentral:rRNA from 1 species